rnacentral:rRNA from 1 species
CAGUCGCCACGGUAAUACGAAGGGUGCAAGCGUUACUCGGAAUUACUGGGCGUAAAGCGUGCGUAGGUGGUUAUAUAAGACAGAUGUGAAAUCCCCGGGCUCAACCUGGGAACUGCAUUUGUGACUGUAUAGCUAGAGUACGGCAGAGGGGGAUGGAAUUCCGCGUGUAGCAGUGAAAUGCGUAGAUAUGCGGAGGAACACCGAUGGCGAAGGCAAUCCCCUGGGCCUGUACUGACGCUCAUGCACGAAAACGUGGGGAGCAAACAGGAUUAGAUACCCCCGUAGUCCCUGUCUCUUAUAC